CUGGUGCCAGCAGCCGCGGUAAUUCCAGCUCCAAUAGCGUAUAUUAAAGUUGUUGCAGUUAAAAAGCUCGUAGUUGAAUUUCGGGGUCAGUAGGUUGGUCGUGCCACCGGUACGUACUGGUCUCACUGAUUCCUCCUUCCUGAUGAGCCGUAAUGCCAUUAAUUUGGUGUUGCGGGGAGACUGGACUGUUACUUUGAAAAAAUUAGAGUGUUUAAAGCAGGCUAACGCUUGAAUACAUUAGCAUGGAAUAAUGAAAUAGGACGUUCGAUCUUAUUUUGUUAGGUUUCUAAGAUUGACGUAAUGAUUAAUAGGGAUAGUUGGGGGCAUUAGUAUUCAAUUGUCAGAGGUGAAAUUCUUGGAUUUAUUGAAGACUAACUACUGCGAAAGCAUUUGCCAAGGAUGUUUUCAUUAAUCAAGAACGAAAGUUAGGGGGAUCGAAGACGAUCAGAUACCGUCGUAGUCUUAACCAUAAACUAUGCCGACUAGGGAUCGGAUGAUGUUAAUUUUUUAAUGACUCAUUCGGCGCCUUACG
rnacentral:rRNA from 1 species